rnacentral:rRNA from 1 species
UAGGGAAUCUUCCACAAUGGACGCAAGUCUGAUGGAGCAACGCCGCGUGAGUGAAGAAGGUUUUCGGACCGUAAAGCUCUGUUGUUGGUGAAGAAGGAUAGAGGUAGUAACUGGCCUUUAUUUGACGGUAAUCAACCAGAAAGUCACGGCUAACUACGUGCCAGCAGCCGCGGUAAUACGUAGGUGGCAAGCGUUGUCCGGAUUUAUUGGGCGUAAAGCGAGCGCAGGCGGAAGAAUAAGUCUGAUGUGAAAGCCCUCGGCUUAACCGAGGAAUUGCAUCGGAAACUGUUUUCUUGAGUGCAGAAGAGGAGAGUAGAACUCCAUGUGUAGCGGUGGAAUGCGUAGAUAUAUGGAAGAAUACCAGUGGCGAAGGCGGCUCUCUGGUCUGCAACUGACGCUGAGGCUCGAAAGCAUGGGUAGCGACAGGAUUAGAUACCC